CAGUCGCCGCGGUAAUACGUAGGUGGCAAGCGUUGUCCGGAAUUAUUGGGCGUAAAGGGCUCGCAGGCGGUUUCUUAAGUCUGAUGUGAAAGCCCCCGGCUCAACCGGGGAGGGUCAUUGGAAACUGGGAAACUUGAGUGCAGAAGAGGAGAGUGGAAUUCCACGUGUAGCGGUGAAAUGCGUAGAGAUGUGGGGGAACACCAGUGGCGAAGGCGACUCUCUGGUCUGUAACCGACGCUGAGGAGCGAAAGCGUGGGGAGCGAACAGGAUUAGAUACCCGCGUAGUCCCUGUCUCUUAUAC
rnacentral:rRNA from 1 species